CGCCCCAGUGAAACUCUUGGACCCGGCGUGCUCUGUGAGCCGGCUUCUUCCCUAACUGCACUUCAGGCUCCUCAUAACCGCUGGGCGCCAGACCAGAGGCAGCGCUCGACAGACUUGCGACAAUGUCGAUGCUAGCGGAGCGUCGGCGGAAGCAGAAAUGGGCUGUGGAUCCCAGAAAUACUGCGUGGAGUAAUGAUGAUUCCAAGUUUGGCCAGAAGAUGCUUGAGAAGAUGGGGUGGUCUAAAGGAAAGGGUUUGGGGGCUCAGGAGCAAGGAGCCACAGAACAUAUUAAAGUUAAAGUUAAAAAUAACCACCUGGGACUUGGAGCUACAAACAAUAAUGAAGACAACUGGAUUGCUCACCAGGAUGACUUCAACCAGCUUUUGGCAGCACUCAACACUUGCCAUGGUCAGGAAACAGCAGAUUCCUCAGACAACAAGGAAAAGAAAUCUUUUAGCCUUGAAGAAAAAUCCAAAAUCUCCAAAAACCGGGUUCAUUAUAUGAAAUUCACCAAAGGGAAGGACCUGUCCUCUCGGAGCGAAACCGACCUGGAUUGUAUUUUUGGAAAAAGGAGGAACAAGAAGCUUGCUCAGAUCAGUGUUGAUGUGCUCGUCGGUGACACAGUCUAAGUCCCUGAAGAAAAUUGAACUUACAGCCAGUGAAGUCUGAAAGUAGUCUGCAGUUACAGAAACUAUAGAGGAAUUACAGGCUUACUGCCCUCAUAAAGAAAGAAACAGAAGUCCAAAAUAUAGGAUACAGCUCAAGACAACUGACACAAUUUUGAUGAUAAGCCCAUGAUGUAGGGGAAAAUGAAGUUGUGGAAAAAACAGGGUGCUGUGUAGAGAGAGACCCUAUACAACGUACUAACCAUAUGUCUAUGGAGGCUUGUUCCAGACUUCGUUUGGCCAAACACAAGCUGACUAAAGUCUGGUUCUUGAUGUGUCUUAAAGGCUUAUUUUCAUUUUAUUUGGUGUACUGUUGGUGUGAUUGUCUGAGGAGUUUUCUCGGCUUCUUACUGAUGUGUAUUGUUUGCUUAUUGUUUAUGGUGCGUGGCAUCGAACCCAGGGCCCUGUGCAUACUAGGUAAGUGAUCAACCAUUUAAAACUUUAAAAAUUGUUGGAAAGAGUUUGAACAUACCUUAGUUAGGGUUUUUAUUGCUGUGAAGAGAGAUAUGACCAUAGUUGGUCUGGCUUACAGUUCAGAGGUUUAGUCCAUUAUUGUCAUGGCAAGAAGCAUGGAGCUGCAUAGGCAAACAUGGUGCUGGAGAAGUGGCUGAGAAGUCUACAUGCAGAUUGGCAGGCAACAGGAAAAGAGAGUGACACUGGGCCUGGCUUGAACAUUUGAAACCUCCAAGUCCACCCCCACACUUUCUCUAAUAACGCCAUACCUCUUAAUAGUGCCACUCCCCAUGAGCCUGCUAUGGGGACCAUUUUCAUUCAAAUCACCACAGGGACCUUAUUAAUUUUUUUGCAUAUUUGAACAUUUUACAAAUUAAAAUUUUUACAGGUUUUUGUUUGCUUGUUUGUUUUUGUUUUUGCUUUGAGAUAGGGUUUCUCUAGCUGUCUUUGAACUAGCUCUGUAGACCAGUCCUCUCAAAUCCUGUCUGCCUCUCUGAGUGCAGGGAUUAAAAAAGCAUGUGUUACCAUGCCUAAUUUUUUUUUAAUAGAUUUUAAUGACGUGUUCCUUACCAUUUUUUUCCACUCUACCAAAGACAGCUUAAUUAUUUUGUGUGUAAAUUUAAAAUGUCAUCAUCCCUAAGAUACUCUUAAUCAUUCUGCUCAGUGUAUUAAUGAUAGUAGAAGUCAGGAUGUUAGCAGAAAGUAAAUGUUUUAGAUCUCUCUGGAAUCCAAUACCCAUUCCUUCGAGCACCCUUGAAUCUCUAAAGAUCUAAGACUCCCUCCUUUCAGUCAUCACAUGAGCACACAGGAGAGAAGUGAGGUGAAGAAAUGGAGUUCCUGGUUCCUCCUGGACCUGCUGUCACCUCUCCUCAUUGCUGGGUAGUCAAGGCAGGGGAGGAGCAUGCAGACUUAAGACUCUGGUAACUGAAAGGGUUUUUGUUGUCAUUUGGAGUGCAAAGCUUCUUUCUGCCUGGCAUAUUGGAGUUCGAUUACUGUCCCCAUACAAGUAAAAUUCCUGUAGCCUGAGGUAGCAUGCUGAGUGUCUUUGGUGUCUGCAUAGCAUAAUAUACAUGACAGAUGGAGUGUCCUCUGCCAGGGAACCAGCUGUGUGUAGCUUGAGAAGCCUCACCUUGAAUCAUCUGUGUGUGCCCCUAGAAGGUGUGGUUUGUCACUUGCCCCAGAGGCUUCUGGAUUCAGUGCCAUCUUGCCUUUUUCUCUUUAAAUUUAUUCACUUUACAUCUCACUCCCCUCCCAGUCACCCCUCCACACACACACAGUUCUACCAUCCCCCUCCCCUUCUCUGAGCAGGUAGGGCCCCUUGGGUACCCCCUACCCUGGUACUUCCAGUCUCUGAGACUAAGCGCAUCCUCUCCCACUGAGGCAAGCCCAGCUGGAAGAACAGAUCCACGUGCAGGUGACAGUUUUGUUUUGUUUUUAUUUGCUCCUUUGUUUGGAGUUGUUCAUCAGCAAGGUACCGAUGUCUUCACUUCCCCUCGACUCCAGAGGCAUGAUGCUCAUGUGCACGUUGUGAUGGUUCUAGUGUGGAGUCUUGUUUUGCUGCUGUUUCUCUCUGGCUAGCACGGCCAUGGCCAGUGCUGAGGUACUGUGUCUUCCGGCAGAUGCGUUUCUUUAGCAGGCAGGAAUCUCGGAAACAGUUCCCAGCAGGUAGAGUGCUACCUGGAACUCUUUCUCUCUGUAGGGCUUCUCAGAGACAAAACUGUCCCACUGUCCUUCAUCUAGGAGCAUCUUUCGAGUGAAGAUUGCAUAAGUUGGGGACCCGAGCUCAAGUCUCCAUUAUGUCACUUAGUCCUCAGAGUGAUUGACAGUUUUACAACUGCAGUCACUUCCAGACAAAGGAAGCCAAGGUCCAGAGAGACAAAACUUGUUUAGUCCACCAUGAAGAGGACUGAGAGUUCUAGGCUGUGCUUCUAUGUGAAACAUUUUAAAAGUUAAACCCCAGGGCAACAUGGUCCUCACUACCCACCCCAAUGUUCUGGGUUCCCAAAUGAAAGACACACACACACACAGCCUUUAUAUUUUGUUAUGCCUUUAUCAGCUCAAUGGCUGGGCCACUUUCUAACCUCCAUGUGGUUAAUCCACCCCCACCUCUACUCCACUGCCACCAAUAAUCCAAGUUAUUACUUACUAAAUCCUACAUUCUAUGUUGACUGCACUGGACCCAGAGUGAUGCCCAGCUGACCGCACUCUCCCGACUCCUUCCCCACUCUCCUCAGGUGUGGCAGCUCUCCUCUCCCUUUCAUUCCAUGGAGAUCUUUUUCUUUUUCCUUGUCCCUAGCCCAAGAAUGCUAAAAGUCCUGCCUCUGUCUGCCCUGCCCAGCCAUUGGCUGUCAACAUCUUUAUUUACCAAUGAGAACCAACUGAGGUUGAGGCAGGGUUCCUUGGUGUCUUAAGUGCAGAUACUCUUGCCAACAGGUUUGGGAGGAACAAAUUAGCAUAAGAAUACAAGCAGCUACAUUUCCCCCUUUUGUCCGAUUAAAAAGGCCUUUUCCCUCAGAUAUACAUUGAACGGAAUUAUAACAAUUAUGUAAACUAUAAAGUAUGGUAUACAUUAAUAACAUCCAGUCUAUCAAUUUUGUCAAUUUAGAUACAUUACUCUAUCAUCUAUCCUAACCUAAAGAAGUUACAAUUCUAUACCUGAAUUAUGUUUUGAUAUUCACUUACAUUACCAUUUGAAAGCCAUCCUUUCAAUAGAACAUCUUCUUCAAUGCUAAACAACUUAAGUUCAAUUAUGAGACUAUAACUAGUCUUCAAACUUGCCAGAAAUCUGAGAAGGGAUUACAUAUUACCUGAAUAUGUAAGAAGCACAAAAACAUAGCUUCCAAAACUUAUACAGAUUGCUUUGGGUUCUGCUUCUUUACUUGGGGAGUCUAAGGCCUAAGUAGAUGUGAAGAUUCACCAUAACUUUUAGCUAUUCAGCCAGUGCCUGACUCCUGAUCAGUUGCUUUUAGUAGAGGCAAGGUGAGUUCAGUCUGUGCUUAGCAAACCCUCAGUGAACUAUCUGGUUUUCUUGCUUGCUUUCUGCGCUGUUUUUCUCUGCAGGAUGAGCCAUGGUUGCUUCAUGAUCUAGGAAGAAGUCACUGUUGUUGCUGCUGCUGCUGCUGCUGUUGUUUUUUGGGGGGAGAAGGAGAUUCCCUUUAGUUAUUUGGGUUUUAGUUGAGUGUUGUUCUGGAUUUGCUUUCUUUUCCCCACCCUGUAGAAUUGUGUGUUAGGCAGAGGAUCUGUCUGUGAGCCACAUCCCAGCAUAGUUUGGGUUGUGUAUUUGUCCAUUUAUUUUUGAGUCAGGGUCUCCCUAUGCAACUCAUGCCAGCUUUGAGCUCAUAAUGUAACCUAGACUGCCCUCAAACUUGGAAUCUCCUUGCUUUCCCCCUCCUGAGUGCUAGAUUUUAAGUGUACACCUCUGCCUGUCCUUGCUAAGGGUUUUUAACUCUAGGAUUCUAUUUUUCAGAAGCAGUGUUUUUAUAAAUGUAUUAUCUCAAUCCUCCUAAGCAAAGACAAUAAAUCCAAAGAAGAAACCUUUCUUAGGAUCCUAUAAGAUGCAGUUGCCUUAUUAAACUUAGCCUUGGCCAGGCCUGUGGUCCCUGCACUGAGUAGUACAGGUCCUAUACCAGGGUCCGUUUUCUUGGCUGUGGGAAGGCUGGGGUGAGAGUGGUUCCCUUUGCUUUCGAGGCUAGCAUAGCACUAAAAAAAAUUCCUACUGAUUCUCAGCCAGAUCGUGUAUACUGAUGCCAUUCUGUUAUAGUUAGCUGUUCCUAGUAAAUGGUUCAGUAGAAGAACCGUGGAGCAGUGCUCCCUGGGUGACACCCUGUGGUGGCUUUGGAUCACACUGGCACGCUUCAGCUGCACAGGCUUGUUUCUAUGUCAUGCAGUCUACAGUCACCAAACCCUCAGAACAGCACCAAAUCCUGUGUUUCAGGCCUUUACUAGGUUCCAGUCCUGUGGAAGAUCUCACUUUAUGGAAGUGACAGCAGAGGUAGAAGAAGGUAAAGCGAAUCAAAACCAGGUAACUGAAUCUUACAGACCAGCAGUAGCAAACAGAAAUGAGCAAAAGCAGGGCCGUUAUCAUUUCACAGACCUGCGAUGAAGUCCUCUGCCCUUCUAGUCAUGUGACUUCCAGCAGGAAUUCAACCCUUCUGAGCUUCACUGGUCAGCCAGAAACACUAUCCCAGGAAUGGGAUUGAGGUCCUCAUUCAAGCAUUGGUAGAAAGUCACACUGAUCAGAGAAAACUUCUUUACCCAAUAGUGUUUCUGUGCCCCAUGUUCCCAUCUGUCUUGGAAAAUAGUGUCUUCCCUUGGCCUCCUGCUAAGUGUGCUGUGACUGUAGCAGGUAACAGGCCUCUGUACCUUAUCACAUGCACGGGUCUCACUUUUGUCUGGUAAAGCACAGUUGAGAGAGACAGCUGUUAAGCGCUCUCCCUUGGAUUUGGCCACCUGUUCUGCCUUCUCUAGAGUCUUUUUCCUCCGAUCUCCUUCCUGUUAAAGCUAAGUGGGUGUUGAGGGAACUGCAUGGGAAUCUUUUGAGGCAGAGUGAGCUGCAGUGUGGAGCCAUCAUUGAUCAUAACCACUAAGUAAGAGGUAAAAAUGUUCUUCCCCUGGAGGGCCUGCUGGAAAGAGGCUGGCUCUUUGACCUUGUGGGUGAUGGCUGUUUCCUACAGGCCAUUCGCCCUUGUGUGGUUUAGGGUGUCUUUUGGAAAGCUGGCACCAGGUGGAGCUACUGAGUAGUAAGGUUCACUGCCUCCAUCCAGUUCAUGACUAAAGAUACUUAAAUAUUCAGUCUCUGCUUUAAGUGGACUGGUUGGCAUUUUUAACCAAUUUCUAGGAAACUGGUGUGACUGCAGAGGCACAAAUUCAAAAUAAUUCCUUUUUCUCCAUUUAAAAUAAAAGAUGGUUUCCCCUUUUGAGAGUUGCAAGAGCAGCAGGUGAUUGAAAGGCUCUCAGCUUUGUCCAGUUUGUUACCACGUGCUGUUCACGCGCCCGUCCAUGAUGCAGCUUCAGCUACCUGCCUGACUGCACUCAGGAGUCCUAGCUACUAGUUGGGCUGAUUAAAAGAACCUAGCUACUUUUUCUUCAUUGUAGAGCUGAGAAUGCAGCUCAGUUACUAGAGUACCUGCCUACCAUGCAUGAAACCCUUGGCUGUAAUCCCCACCACCCAUGGGGUAGAGGCAAGAGGACCACGCUGUAGAAAAGCAAGUAUUUGAGAGUAGAGGAAGAUUGGGACUAGAUCAGCUUCAGUUAAAGUUGUGGUCAGUGUCACUUUAGUUCUUCCUGUCAUCAUUGACAGGCUUUCACCCCACCCAGUUCCCAAGUAUCCUGUGGAUGAUAGAUAUUUGUAAGCAUGCGGUCAAUUAGCAAAGCUAUAUUACAGCCUUCUUAGAGCCUUUUCUGUGUUAAUGAAUAUGGCCCUUCUCCUAAACAUCAGUUAGUUAUCUGAGUGUGGACCUAUUAUUUAUUUAGGCUCCUAGAAUUGAAUUGUAGACAGAUGUUCUGGACGACUAAGAAGAAACCACUGAUCAAGAAAAAGAAAUGCAGGCAGAGCAACUUUGCCAGACGAAGACUGGAGUAAGCUGACUUGUUUCCUAGAGCUUUCCACAUCCUUGUGUGGUCCAGCCAUCCCUAUAUCUGACUAUAUUGUAGGACACCAGUGGGUUUAAACCUUGAAUAGUACUGAGUCCUGUGCAAUGUAUACUGUGCCCUUCUUCUAUGAACUGCAGCAUUGCCAGAUAGUCCUGGAAUAGUCUAUCCCAGGUUCCAUGCCCUGGAGUAACAUUUGUAACCCUCUGCCUAUCCUUAAGAGUCAUUAUUAAGUAAAAUAAGGGUUCUUUAAACACAAGAGCUGUAACACUAGGCAUUUGAUCAGAUAACAGAAGUUAUUACCAGGGACUAGCAGGUGAGCAGCGUAUGUACCAUGAACACACUGAACAAAAAGACAGUUCCUGUCCAGUCCCAAUUAUGUCACAUGUUACCACGCUUAUUAGAAGUUUAAGCUUGGAAACUUAUCAACCGAAGUCAUAAGAAAGAAGAUUAUUUUACAUAGUUUGAGGAAAUUUUAGAACUAAAGAAAUAGAAUAACAAUCUGGAAAGCAUGCCUAGUGAGCUGGGUUAUCCAUACAGUAGAGAAUUGUUGUCAUGGUUUUUGUGAGUCUGUCCUCCAGAAGACAGACUGAUGCCACCUGAAUAAGAGAUAAAAGGCGGAAAUGCAGCGUCAUCAGUCAGUACAGGGCUCAUGUCAGAGGUUUGCACAUCAGUCUCUACCCUGGUUAAAAUUCCUUUGUGUUCUACAUGGCCUAGGGGGACCUGUGCCUUCAGUCCUUGGUUCUUUGACUUCAUGGUGAAGUCAAAGACUUCCUAGACUGCCCAUUGUUCAAGUUUUCCCCAGAGUGCGGAGAAGCCUCUCAUCCAAGCAAAUGAGUCAUUCCUGUGUGUCACUGUGUGCUUCUGUCACCAGUUCCAGCUCCACCCAUCUUCAUCACACUCCCGAGUGAUGCUGCUGGUACUCUACCGCUCCAGCUCUGCCACCACAGGGCUCUCAGCAUCCCGGCUACUUCCUCUGAAACACCUGAGACUCUCGGCCAUUGAAAGUUAACGACGGCUGCAGCAACUCCACUGCGGAUGAGGCGGACACCUCCCUGACCACGACCACAACCACAACCAGUGCCUUCACCAUCCAGGAAUAUUUUGCCAAGAGGAUGGCCCAGUUAAAGAGCAAGUCACAGGCCGCAGCUCCAGGGUCUGACCUUUCAGAGACCCCCAUUGAAUGGAAAAAGGGAAAGAAAAAAACCAAAGAGGCAGCAGGCACAGAUAUAGAGAACUCUCCC